GCGUGGCCUUUACCGUGAUAUAUAUAUCUGUCUCUCUGCCACAAUGCUAGCUGUCUUCUGCCGUCUAGCUAGCUCCGUAUGUACGGAUGUGUCAGGCACCUGCUCCAUGCGUAACGGCAAUUGAUUCUCCUCUGAUACGCAUGCGGAAGGACCUACCAGCGGGGCAUCUUGGUCAUUUUCCCCUUUCUGGGCUGGGUUGAAUGGUAGGGCUGAAGUUGAGCCUGGUGAGGGCCUGAUUACUGGGCCGAGAGGUUUGGGCCGGCUUGGUUGAGGAGUCUAGGCAGAGUCCGGCCCUGUGACUGAGCGGGCUGGACCUGACUCUCGAGGGGAAUAUUGAAGCCUUCAGGUCAUGGACUAUUUUCAUGGGCCUGGCCUUUAGACCGGGGUGAAGAAAUCCAGCGAUCAUCAAUUGCCCCUUUAUCUCCUCAGCAGUUAUUCCAUGACUGGUGAGGGGAUAAAUCUUUAAA
rnacentral:lncRNA from 1 species